rnacentral:tRNA from 1 species
GCUCCAGUAGCUCAGUCUGGAUAGAGCAACUGCCUUCUAAGCAGUAGGUCGGAGGUUCGAAUCCUCCCUGGGGCA